rnacentral:rRNA from 1 species
ACGAACGCUGGCGGCAUGCCUAACACAUGCAAGUCGAACGAGACCUUCGGGUCUAGUGGCGCACGGGUGCGUAACGCGUGGGAAUCUGCCCCUAGGUACGGAAUAACUCAGGGAAACUUGAGCUAAUACCGCAUAAUGUCUUCGGACCAAAGAUUUAUCGCCUAGGGAUGAGCCCGCGUAGGAUUAGCUUGUUGGUGAGGUAAAAGCUCACCAAGGCGACGAUCCUUAGCUGGUCUGAGAGGAUGAUCAGCCACACUGGGACUGAGACACGGCCCAGACUCCUACGGGAGGCAGCAGUGGGGAAUAUUGGACAAUGGGCGAAAGCCUGAUCCAGCAAUGCCGCGUGAGUGAUGAAGGCCUUAGGGUUGUAAAGCUCUUUUGCCCGGGAUGAUAAUGACAGUACCGGGAGAAUAAGCUCCGGCUAACUCCGUGCCAGCCGCCGCGGUAA